UACGGGGGGGAGCAAGCGUUGUUCGGAUUUACUGGGCGUAAAGGGCGCGCAGGCGGCUGCUCAAGUCAGGCGUGAAAGGCCUGGGCUCAACCCGGGAAUUGCGCUUGAGACUGGGCUGGCUUGAGUGCGGGAGAGGAUGGUGGAAUUCCCAGUGUAGAGGUGAAAUUCGUAGAUAUUGGGAAGAACACCGGUGGCGAAGGCGGCCAUCUGGACCGCAACUGACGCUGAGGCGCGAAAGCGUGGGGAGCAAACAGG
rnacentral:rRNA from 1 species